rnacentral:rRNA from 1 species
GUGGGGAAUAUUGGGCAAUGGGCGCAAGCCUAACCCAGCAACGCCGCGUGAAGGAAGAAGGCUUUCGGGUUGUAAACUUCUUUUACCAGGGACGAAACAAAUGACGGUACCUGGUGAAUAAGCCACGGCUAACUACGUGCCAGCAGCCGCGGUAAUACGUAGGUGGCGAGCGUUAUCCGGAUUUAUUGGGUGUAAAGGGCGUGUAGGCGGGACAGCAAGUCAGAUGUGAAAACCAGAGGCUCAACCUCUGGCCUGCAUUUGAAACUGUUGUUCUUGAGUGUCGGAGAGGUAAUCGGAAUUCCGUGUGUAGCGGUGAAAUGCGUAGAUAUACGGAGGAACACCAGUGGCGAAGGCGGAUUACUGGACGAUAACUGACGCUGAGGCGCGAAAGCGUGGGGAGCAAACAGGAUUAGAAACCCCUGUAGUCC